rnacentral:rRNA from 1 species
AUUGAACGCUGGCGGCAUGCCUUACACAUGCAAGUCGAACGGUAACGCGGGGCAACCUGGCGACGAGUGGCGAACGGGUGAGUAAUACAUCGGAACGUGCCCAGUAGUGGGGGAUAGCCCGGCGAAAGCCGGAUUAAUACCGCAUACGACCUACGGGUGAAAGCGGGGGAUCGCAAGACCUCGCGCUAUUGGAGCGGCCGAUGUCAGAUUAGCUAGUCGGUGGGGUAAAGGCCUACCAAGACGACGAUCUGUAGCUGGUGUGAGAGGACGACCAGCCCCACUGGGAAGGAGACACAGCCCAGACUCCGACGGGAGGCAGCAGUGAGGAGUUUUGGACAAUGGGGGCAACCCUGAUCCAGCCAUGCCGCGUGCGGGAAGAAGGCCUUCGGGUUGUAAACCGCUUUUGUCGGGGAAGAAACGGUCUGCGCUAAUACCGCGGGCUAAUGACGGUACCCGAAGAAUAAGCACCGGCUAACUACGUGCCAGCAGCCGCCGUAAGAC